UGGAGGAGCUCCAUCUGGAAGAGGCGGAGGCGCUCCGACGCUCCAUCCAAGGCUUCUAGAUGCUUCGUCUCGCCCUCAUCGUCUGUUAGAAAAAGUUGUGUUGUGCUGUGUAAGUAUUGAGAUCAAAUGAAUGAAUAAUGAGAGUGUGGAUUGUAUUAACUGAGAUUUUGGACGGUGGCGUGAACGGUGUAGCCGCGGUCCAGAAGGAGGUGGACGAGCCAUGAACCGAUGGCGCCGCUGCCGCCGGUGACACACACCACCUUCUCCAUUUGGCAACUGUAUUCUAUCAACCUCCAGUUUUGUACUGUUCCAGUGUAAUCUGCUGAGGCAAAAAAUAAUUAUAAUUUGAAGUCAUAUCUGUACAAAAAAAUAUAUAUGAGUGGUGCAUAAUGAAUCUCAACACUCACAAAAAUCUCAUUAAAUUUUAUUAUUAUUAUAUUAUCAUCUUACAUGCACCAUAUCAGCAAAACCACAAAUUGCAUCACAUUUUGCAACAGAUGCAGGAAUUGAACCAGAAAUCAGAUGAUAGCAUAUACAAUGUUGUGAUGAAAAUUGGCAUGCUUAUUAUUAUUCAUUAAGCAAUAAUAUAUUAUAGAAGUAUUUUAAUCACUGGAUAUUGUUCUACUAGAUGUAAGAAACAGGUCAGUGACUUCUGUUGUUGAAAAAGUAGUAUAAUAGUUAUAAUAUAAUGUGAUUAAAAACCAUUUUUAUUGUUUUAAUAUACUGCUAAUACUACUAUAAUUAAUGUUAUAUUAAACGUUCAUAAUAUUAUUGUUACAACGUAAACCCACCCUUUAAUUGCAAUUUGUACUAUAUUAAAAUAUGAUGUCAACAUAUAUGUUAUUAUAUUAUUAAUGUUAUUAUCCUUUGGAUUUUUGUGUAUGUUUUUAUUUGGAUUUUCGUUUAUUCAAAAUUUUCAAGUAAAACAUUUAUUCAUUUGAGUGGAUUUUUUUAAAGGACUCAACUACGACCUGCUUCACGUGACAGAUGUUACACCUUAAGUACAUUACACCUUUAGCUCUCACAGUAUUCAAUUAACGCUUGAUUUAGCUUUCUGCAGUGUCUUUAUUCCUUAUCUUUCCUUUUGUCAUCAUUUUUAAUGUGCUUCUCUUACACUCUACUUCAUAAAGUUUAUAACCUACAACUUGCUUAAGCAACUUUCUUCUUACAUGGUUGUGCUCACACUUUACCUCAUUUGUCCUUCAUCGCAUCAGAAGUUCAGAUUGUUCACUUAUUUUUGUAAGACGUUAUUCAAAUUUUUGUUUCAAACUCUUGCAAUUUAAAUCGAUUGUUUUAUCCAAUGUUUUUUUUUUAUGGUUGUCUGUCCUUUUCAUAUCUUAUUUUCAACAAAAUGGCUUAUGAAGAACUUCUCCAUAUGUUGUUUGUUUUCACUUAUGGUUAUUGUUCUUUGUCUGCAUUCUAAUUUUUAAGUUUAAUUUUUAGUUAUCUUUAUAUUGGCAUUUCGGAUUAAAUGCAUCUUCAAUUAUUUUUGUAUGAUUUUUUUCCAUUGCUUACUUACUCUGUUUUCUAUUAAAAUUAAAACUUAUUACUUCUUUCAUGGUGGAUUUCAAGCUUUUGUGCUAAAGAAAUGACCUUUACAACUACAACAUCAGCUGUUUUCUAAAUACUUUUUGUUCUCGUUGUUUUUUUAAAAAAAUAUAAUACUAUUUAGGCAUGUAUUGUGCUCCGCUAGAUUUUAUUUAUGUGUUGUCUCAUAAAAGUCUUUCAUUUCACAGUAAAAUGUAUAGUGCAACUUAAAGAGAAAACCACUAUUUCGUUAUGUGUUCUUUUUCAUUAUAUUUUUCUCAAUUUUAUUCUAGUUGUUUUGUUUAACCUAUAUAUGCUUAUGUUGUUUUUAUGUUUUUCUUUUUUUUGUCAUAAGAUUUUGUAUUUAUGAACCUCUUAUUCAGAUUGUGUAACAUUUGAAUCUGGUUUGUUGCACACACUAACAUUGGCAGCUAAAACAAAGUUUUAUUGUUAGUUUAUAUUUACGAAUGUAUGUGUUCUUCUAUUUAUUUAUGUCCUUUCUUAUUUGACCUAUGUCUUUGACUAAUUGAUCAACACACCAAAUCUUCGCAACUACAAAAAUCUUUUAGUAUGCAAGAAUACAAUGUUGUUCCUUCUUCUUCACAAGUUUUAACAAAUUUGGUUUGCUUAUUUUGUUUUUAUGUAUUUUUGCUUUUUUUUUUAUAUGAUUAUGUAAUUAUGAACCUCUUAUGUUGUUGGAUGUCCAGAUUGUGUAACAUUUUAAUCUAAUUUGUUGCACACAAUUAGAUUGGCAGCUAAAGCAAAAUUUUAAUGUUAGUUUAUAUUUACGGAUUUCUGUGUUAUUCUAUUUAUUUAUGUCCUGUUUAUUUAACCUCUGGCUUUGAAGGAUUCAUCAACACACCAAAUAUUGGCAACUCCGUCAAGGAGAUACAUCCUAGAUUUUUUUUUUCUUCUUGUUUUCCAUGCUUGUAAUGCCCAACAUGAGUAUCUAAUUCUACCCUUUGAGAUUUGAGAUUUUCUCUUUAGUUGUUCCUCUACUCUAACACAAAGUUGAACUAAAUCAUUUAAAUCAUUAUAAGGAAAAAGUUCAACUUUAUCCUUAAUUUCAUAAUUAAGACCACUUUGGAAUCGAGCCCUAAUCCGUGCCCUUAACAUAAAUAACUCAAUUAUCUGCUUCUAUUGUUCUACAAUCAUGUUUAUAUGCGUUAACUUAUUGAGUUGUUUCAUCAACUCUCUAUCAUAUUAGGAAGGCUCAUACCUCUUCCUAAGAGCUGAUCUAAACUCAUUCCAAUACCUUAUUUAGGGAAAAUUAUGCAACCUAAGAUCUUUUGUAUAGGUGGUCCACCAAGUCAUGGUUGAAUCUUGAAAACUAAGGGUAGCUAAGGUAUCCCUCCUCUCAUGAUUUAUUUGGUGAGCCGAAAAAAAUUUCAACCUUCAUCUCCAAGGUUACGUAAUCUUCUAUAUUUGAUGAAAAAUGAAAAUAAGGAAGGUCAAUCUUAGGCUCUUUAGGCACAUGAUGGGCUCGAUGUCUAUGUUGUCUAGCAUUUUAUUGGUAGUAGUAUGUAUUGUGAUACCUACUAUAAUCAUAUUGGCUUUGGUAAGGGAUUGUAUGAUGAUUGCUUAUAUGUUUGUGAGAUCCCUCUCUUAGGAAAUCACAAAUUUAGAAAUUAUUUCUUUCAAUUCUGAAAAAUUCAUUUGCUUGUUUUGUUACUCUUUCAUAGACAUUAAAAGAAUCUUGAGUGUUUUGAUUACCAUGAACACUAGAUUGAUGUGAAGGAUCACCCAUUGUUGAAUUAAAAUAGAAAAAGUUUUCACAAAAAUUUACAAUUCAAUUGAGUGAUCAAAAUAUUUUUUGAAAAUAUUUUUUUAAUUUUUGGUGAAGUAAAUAGAUCAAGUAUGAGAGUUCUCCAAGUUCACUCCCACGAAAAGUGAGGUGAGUCACAAUGGACUACUUACAUACCAAGAGCUUAUCCCAAAUAAUUCUCAACAUAAGUUCCCUCAAAAUAAUUUUAGAAAUGAGAGUGGGUGUUUGAAUGUCGAAAUGAAACUAAAGAUCAAAGGAAGAUCUACUAAUAAGCAAAAAAAGAUAAAAAUCCUAUGUAUCACAGAUACUUAAAAGCAAGAAAAUAAAGGAAGGAAAUAAAGGAAGGAAAUAAAAGCAUGAAAUUAAAGCAAGAAAUUAAUGCUAGUGAAAAGUAAAUUAGCCGCAUCCUAAAGUUCAAGUGCAAUUGACACUAAGACUCCAGCAGCACACUUACACCACUAAUGCACAUGUAAUCUAAGAAUUUGAAGUAAAAUAAGUACAAAAGAAGAUGGACAACAAUAUAGAUAAAUAGUUAAGUGAAUCUCAAGAGAACAUUACAAAGAACUUACUUGAAAUGGACUUUAUUAAAAAUUUUAAUUUCAAGAAAUAUACUAAGUUAUGUUGGAGAUCCCACAUCGACUAGAGAUAAGGACAUUUCAUAAUAUAUAAAUGGGUGCAGACCUCAAUCUUAUGAGCCGGUUUUAUGGGGUUGAGUUAGCCUUAAAGUCCACUUCGCAAUAAGUUACUUUUAUACAUAUAGCUUAAUGAACAUAUCAAGGCAUAAGUAAGUAUAUUUGAUUAUUGUUAUAUAACAAAUUCAUUUGUAAUUCACAUUCCUAAAAGUAUUUACAAAAGAUUCGAAGUAAAGCAUGUCCUUAUCUCAAGAUGCACUACUUGUAAACAAAUAACCCAUCAUAUUCUACAUAUUCCUUUGACAAACUUGAUUACCCGAACUAGAAGUUGCUCAGUUGGAGAUCUCACAUCGACUAGGGAUUAGAGCCUUUUAUUGUAUAUAAAUGGAUGCAAACCUCAACCCUGUGAGCCGGUUUUAUGGGGUUGAGUUAGGCUUAAAGUCACAUCUCUAUCUUAGUGGAAAGUAUUGAAUAGAGUAUAAAUCAUAUACAUCUGUGUUAAAAUGAGUAUACAUCUAUAUUAAAAUGAGUGAUGUCAUUCAUACAUCUAAAGAAAUCAAUGUACAUUCUCAUUUCAUAAUAAAAAGAUAUGAAUGACAAUUACAACACAAAGACCCUACCUACCACGAGUUGGUCAUACUCUAAUCUACGCCCAUAAACUAUUUCCCGUGAGUUCUAGGCAUGGAGGCUUCUCAAUGUUUCAAGCUAUAAACAAAGACUGAGAAUUGUACACUCAAUCAUACAAUAAUAUAAAUAAAAACACAGGAAAAAUCAAUAUCCUCGCAUACAAUAACAUAAUCAAGAGGACAAAUUAUAAUAUACAUCAAAAAAUUAAUUUGGUGAAUUUAAAGACUCAACCAUACAUUCAAUCAAAUCAAAAUGUAUUUCACAAGUAUUAUUAUAGGAUAUGACAACCCAAACUAACAUCGUUUUCCUCCCUCAUCCAACGUCUACUUUCAUGACUUACUACUUAAAAGUACACCUUCAUUGAGAUUAUUUAAAAAAAAAACUUAAAUUGUUAUAUGAAGGUGCAUGGGGAAAAUAGAGAGUGGAGGAGAAUUUGCCAAACUAAUGCCCUUUUCUCUUUCCUUUUUUGUACGUAUGCAACACUUUAUAUUCUAAUUUUCAUGCACAUUUCAAUUCUUCACAAAUGACCUACAAACAAAUAGUGGUCCAUAUGCAUAAAACAAAAUGUAACUAGGGUUUCCAUUCGCAUGUAAACACCCCACGUUUUUCUUACUGUACCCAUAUAAAUUAUCCUUAUUAAUUUAUAAUAUUAUUAAUAAAUUGAAUUUUGAAAAAAUGAUUUUUCUCAUGAUUUAAAACUAAUUUGUUUAACAAUUUGAUACAUACAUUAUAUUAUAGUUAAUGAAAAUAAUAAUUAAUAACUAAAAUCUUAAUAACUAAUUAGAUACAAUUUAAAAAUUAUUUUAUAAUUUUUAUUAAUAAUAAAAACUAUUUAAAUACUAAUACUCAUUCAAUUAUAUCAAUUUCCUUCCAAAUCCUCCUCAUACAUAUAGUAAAGAAAUUGUUUUUCGUUUUCCAUGUUCUUUACACGUUUUCUAUUAAUUUCUUUGUGGACAAUAAGUUUAAGCAUUCCAUCUUCAUUUUGAAAAAAGAAACAAACAGGUGAGAGCUACUCAUACGCAAGUUCCUUUUUCAUACUAUUAGAGAAGUGUAGAUUAUGUCAUAGAAGAGCGUCUAAAGGUAACAGAGAUACAAAAAUGUGAAGACAACACAGAAACAUGACAGAAAUAGAGAUCCACCCAUGAACUAAAAUUAGGUAGAAAAUGUUUUACAAAGAUGUCUCUCGUCACUUGUUUUAGAACAAUGCAAACAUAACAACAACCACACCAACAAAUAUAACAGAUUAACAACAACAGGAAUUUGCACCAAACAUAUGUGCCAUAAGGACUCAUAUUGCAGCAGCAAUUAUGGAAGGAAUCCUUUUUUCUUCAAAUCCUCUACAGAAUCCUUAAUAAUCUCCUCAAUUGGAGUGAUUUGCAAACCCAAAUCCAUAAGUUUCUUUGAUCCAUCCUUCACUCUCAAUAAUCCUGGUUGGGUAUCUCGUUGCAUCCUUUCAAGCAAAAUCACAAAAUACAUCAUUCGCAACUAAGUUAUGCAUUAACAAUAGAUGUAUGAAGUGUGUGGGUAACUUACUUAGGCACAUUGUACUCUGGAUAAAGUUCACCAACUUUGGCCGCAAAAUCACCAAAGUGAGAGAUAGAUUCAACACACACAUGCCUACCAACUGCAGAUUUGUUCUCAUACACCAAAAUAUGUGCCAAUGUUACAUCCUUCAAGUGGACCGAUCCCAUAUAAAUGUCCUCGUAUGUUUCAUCAGAACCUGCGACGCGACAUACAAAUUUGUCUCAAAUUAUCAGUAAUUCCCCUAAAAAAAUCAUAACUUGGGGAGUUUGAUAUUAGUAUUCGAGUCAACAAUUAUACUGUGCAAAAUCUAAUGAAAAGAGUAUAGCACAAUCAAACAAGUCUAAUACUUUUCACGAAGGCAUCAAGUUCUAAAUAUCCUACACAGCUACACCAUCAACUACACUGUCGCAGGUCUUAGAAAACAUAUAAAAUAAUAAUAAAAUAAAAAUAUGAAUAAUAAAUUAAUAACAUAAUAAUAAUUAAAUAAUUAAAAUAAUAAUAAAUAAUAAACAAUAAUAAUGUUGGAGAUCUCACAUCGACUAAAGAUUAGAGUCUUUCAUUGUAUAUAAGUGGGUGCAAACCUUAAAUUUAUGAACUUGUGAGUCAUUUCAUUGUAUAUAAAUAAAUGAAAACCGAUUUUAUGGAGUUGACUUAGACUUAAAGUUUAUUUUGUAAUAAAUAAUAAAAAUAACUGAUAGUAAAAAUAUUAAAAUUAAAAUUAUAAACUAAUUAUAAUAUUAUAUUUUUUAUUUAAUUAAAUUAGUUUAUAAUAAUAUAAAUUAAUUAAUUAUUAUAUAUAUUAUUUUUAAAUUUUUUAAAAUUUAUUAUAUUUAUCAAAUUAGUAAUAAACUUAAUUCAAAAAACUUCAUUUUACUCAACUCCUCAAAUUCCCAGUAUCAAAUUUACUCUCCAUUUGAAAAAAACCCAACUUGAUACAAUGAGUUUAAAAAUAACUAUCUAAAAUAAAGAAUAAAUUUAUACUUAUAUAAUAUAAAAAAUAUAUAUUAAAAUAAUAAUAUUGAAAAUUGUAUAAAAAUACUGCAUUGUAUGAUUAUAUGAUUAACCCAAAAGAUAAAGCAUUCUCAAGCUUUUUGGGUAGUAGAAGAUUUCUUGAUACCAUAUUAUAAUAAUAUAAUAAUAUUUUAAAUUAAAAAUAAAUUAAAUAUAAUUAAAAUAUUAUUUUAAGGAUUUGUCAAGUGGAUUUUUUUAUUAUUGUAUGACCACCCAUUUUAGAACUUUUCCAGUUCACAUUUCCAAUAUUGAAGGAAACUCCUGCUGCAAAAAUAGAAAGAAAUAUUUGGAAAAUCCAACUGAUUAAGCAUUAGUGUCUCUACCUUGAAGAAGGCGCAAGAGCAUGAGCAUGCUUGCAUUAAGCCUGGGUGAAAUAAUCGGACCCAUCACAGUGCCAGGAUUCACUACAACAACAUCCAACCCACUCUCCUUUGCAAAUUCCCAAGCUGCUUUCUCCGCCAAAGUCUUCGACAAUGGAUACCACAACUGUUGCACACACAAACACUUCACACACCAACACAUAUAAGAAAAAGAAACAGAAAAUGAAAAAAAUGAAACCCUUUCUAACCCCUUUUUGCUUGCAAAAUUCAACGUCAGCCCAGCAGUCCUCCCUCUUUGGAACAUCACCGGGCCAACUGGGGCUCGGAAUAAUCGCCGAGACGGAGGACGUGACCACCACGCGACGCACUCCUGCUUCUUUCGCUGCCGUUAAUACGUUCACGGUACCCUUUAUCGCCGGGUCCAGAAGAUCCUUCUGCAUGAAGACUCAAAUGGGAUGAUGAAAAAACCCAAAAGAUUGAAAAUUUGUGAAGAGAUCGAGGAAACAAGACCUGGGGAUCCGAGACUUGAUCAACAAUGCAGGGAGAGGCGAGGUGGAAAACGCCGGCGCAGCCGCGCAUGGCAGCGAGUACGGAGUCAUAGUGGAGGAGCUCCAUCUGAAAGAGGCGGAGGCGCUCCGACGCUCCAUCCAAGUCUUGUAGAUGCUUUGUCUCGGCCUCAUCGUCUGUUAGAAAAGUUGUGUUGUGCUGUGUAAGUAUAUAUUGGGAUGAAACGAAUGAAUAAUAAAAGUUUGGAAUGUGCUAACUGAGAUUUUGGACGGUGGCGUGAACGGUGUAGCCGCGGUCCAGAAGGAGGUGCACGAGCCAUGAACCGAUGCCGCCGCUGCCGCCGGUGACACACACCACCUUCUCCAUUUUGCAGCUGUAUUCUAAGAUGCACUACUUGAAGAACUCCACUGUACUAAGAUAAUGAUGACACGUGUAAGAGAGGAAGAAACAAAGAAAACGAAAGACAGCCACAGAAAGAACAGAGAAAAAAUGAAAACGACGUUCAGAUAAAAGGCAAAAAAUGACCGAAGCAAACAGUUCCAAACAGCAAAAUAUUAGGUUUUAUUUUUUAGUGACUAAAUUAAUAUUGAAUUAUAAAUUUUUAAAGAAUACUUGUAUAAUGUAAUUGUCAUAUUUCUCUAUUAUGUAGAAUUGUAGUGAAAUGGAGGUUAAAUAAUGGUGCCCAACUUGCUAGCUGAAGGUUUUAAAAGGCAAGGAAAAAAUGAUAGCAAAUUAACCGUCAUGUACAAAAAAAGUGGUGGUCCCACAAUCACAAAAAUAGCAUAUAAAUUAAAUAAAAGAACUGACACGUAGAGUUUAGUGUAAUUUGAUGAUUUAUUUAUAAAUUAUUAUUUAUGGUUAUUUUACUGAUUUUUGUAAUAAGUAUUUGAUAUAGUUUAGGAGAGGAUAUGGUAUGCUUUAAUAAGAGGAUUUGAGCACACUUAAGCUUAAAUGAGUGUAUAUAAGCAACAAAAGAAAGAAAAAUAAAUCUAUACAAUUGUUGGAUCAUUCCAAGACUCAAUCAUAGAGGAACACAAACUCAUAGUAGAUAAUUUUUUCUUUUCAUUAAUUUAAUUUCCAACUCAUUGAGAUAAUUAUAAAAGCGUUUCUAUCCAUAACAUUAUGACAAAAUGUAGAGUACACCUUAUUUUCUUAAUAUAUAUAAUUUGACUUUUAUUAACCAAGUGGGCUUCUUCAAUGCCUAAAUCAUUUUAAUAUUUGGCUCCAUUAUUGUGUACCUGUUUCUCAUUUUCUGGUUCUUAUCUCAGACCAACUAAAGCCCACCACGUAUCGUUUCCCAAUUUUUACUUUAUGCAUAUGGACCCGCUUUUUGUUUGUUGCUAUUUUACUUUAUUCCUUUUCAUUUUAUUUUUAAUUCAAAAUAUUAUUAUAUUAUUAUAAGUGUUUGUUAAGUGUAUCUUAUUUACUGUUUUUUAUUGUUUAUGGUUUUAAAGAAACUUUUCUCUUUUGUCAUACAUUCACAUGGGGAGUGCUCAUUUGUUUGCAUGAAAAUUGAAAUACUAAGAGUUGCAGAUGUACAAGAAAGAAAGAGUAGCUCUAAACAAAGAAUAACUUUAUUUUUUAAAAUAAUUUCAGUAACAUUCUUAUAACUUUCUUUUAUUUACAGUACUUUCAUUCUUAUGUCGUAAAAUUAGAAAAAGUAGUUUUUUAUCAAUCAAUAUCGAACGGGUGAGUCAUUUAGUUUCGGAAAUCGAUCAACUGCGUUAAAAUACAUUUAAUACACUCAAUAAAUGACUAUUGUUACAAUUAUGAAAACUUCCGACAAAUCAAAGUCAUAUUCCAUCGAAUUUGGGUGACACCCCCAAGAAAAUAGCUAAUAUUGAUUUAUUGAAGAUAUUCUCCAAAUAUACAUCUCUAUAAUUCAAGGAAUCCCCUAAAAAGCCACUUAACACUGAUAUUUGAUAAAUGCGGUUCAUCACACAAAAUGACUCAUGACUAAACAUUAUAAAUAAAUAUUUUACAAAAGAGGAAUGUAUGUUUUUUAUCAGUUUCACUAUACACUCUUAACACAAGGUACUCACUUGAUCGUCGAAAAAUCUUUUGCAAGUUAACUCCUAAUCGACUAUUGAGAAAUUGAGGAUAGGGAGUCUUGAAGUUUGAAGGAGUGAAGUACUAAGGAGCAAGGGAGGGACCGACAACCAAAACAAUUGUUACAGUCAAUCCCAUGUACUAUUUAUGCUCACUUUGUCAAUACAAGUACAAGUUCCAUCAUUUCAACGUGUGUAAGAGGCUUGACGAGAAGAUUUGUUGUAUUCGACAUUCCCCAAUGCGAAGAUAAUUUUUUUUUUUUAGUUUUAUACUUCAUUUUUGCACAUCAUUUUUUUAUGAAUUUUGUGGCUUCCAAAAAAAGAAAAAAAAUAAAUGAAUAAAAACACAGUCACCAUGAGCAAUCACCAUCACUUGAAAAUGAAGAAGACACAACACUCUCCAUCAAAUAUUGUUGGAAUUAAAAAAGAGUAUGGAAGUGGAGAAUGAAGGUACGGAGAUGCAAGGAGAAUUUGCCAUCAAUUUUGUGCAUAUGGGAUUACUUUUUGCAUCACAUUUUGGUAUCACCCUUCCUUCAUAGGUGUUUCUUUCUGCACCUCUACAUUUUUCUUCUUGCACCUCUACAUUUUUCUUCUUGCACCCCUACAUUCAUGUGUAAUUACAAAGUAUCUCUAAGACAUCUAAAAAAACCCAAAAGGAGCAUAUCUCACUCUUUCUUUCUUCCUUUUCUACAAUUGUUGUGCACCUUGUUCAAGGAGCGAACAAAGGACAAUAAGUGGUAAUGCAUUGGGAUGUUGUUGGUGGUUCAUUUUCUGAAAUCUUGAUGGUGGUUAGAUGAUUUCUAAGAUGACUCUGUAUUAAGAAAAGAAGAUAAGUAAUAUUAUUUUUUGUUUACACUGUAUUGAGAAAAGAAGAUAAGUAAUAUUAUUUUUUGGUUACAUAUUGGAUGUUUAAUUUUUUAACUAAUUUUGAAUUCCGUAAUGCAACUUUUAGGAUUUCAGAGACAAGUGAGUCCGUAAUAGAGCACAUUGAUCCAAGAAUUAACUAGAUUGGUGUAUUUGUGUGGUUAUUUACACUUUAUAAACAUGGUUGUAAUUCCUAGCUGUAAUGGCAAAUAGAAAACUCUUGUAGCAGCCAAAUGGAUCCAGACUUUUUUUGUAAAAAACGUGGUGCCCCACUUGCAGCAAACAGAAAAUAACGAGUAAAUAAAAAAAUAGGGUUUGCAGGAAAUAUAGAAAACAAUGAGGAAAGAAAAGAAUGGCAUGUGAAGGCACUGUAAGGAAGGGUGAUGCCACAUCGUGAUCAGAAUGAGUGGUUGUGAUGGAUGAAUGAAUAAUUAAGAUUCCUUCACAUUCUAAACAGUAUCUCACUUUCAUUCUCUAACCAUUUAUAGUAAUAUCCCCACGUAUUCUUUCUUCUUUUAUAACAAAAACAAAAACAACCACCCCUUUUCUCUUUUCUUUUUUAAUUUACUACUUUUAAUAUUAUUAUUUUAAUAUUUUUUUAUAUCAUUUAAUUAUAAAUCAUUCUUUUAUUCUGCUCUCCAUGUGAAUGUUUGAAGAGUAAAUCAUCUAGGUGUCAAAAAGAACAUUGACAUAUUGGUUUAUAAUUAAAAAUUCUUGAUUCUACAUAUUUUUAACUUUGAGUAGGAAGUUGAUGUUAUAUUAUUAUGUUUAUAUUUAUUAGUUCAAAUUUAAUUGAAUUGAAUAACUGAUUUUUUUCUUUAAUUUAUAAUAGAAUUAAACAAUUAUUAAAAUAAUUCAUAUUUAUUAAAACUAACCACACCAACAAAAGUUUAACGAUACAUAUGAUAGUGCCUCAUUUUAGAACUAAGAGGAAUUUGCAGCAAACAUGUGGCUUUUAGGACUCGUAUUGCAGCAGCAAUUAUGCAAGGAAUCCUUUUUUCUUCAAAUCUUCUACAGCAUCCUUAAUAAUCUCUUCAAUUGGAGUGAAUUGCAAACCCAAAUCCAUAAGUUUCGUUGAUGCAUCCUUCACUCUCAGUAAUCCUGGUUGGGUAUCUCGUUGCAUCCUUUCAAGCAAAAUCACAAACUACAUCAUUUACAAGUACGUUAUGCAUUAACAAUACAUGUAUGAAGUGUGUGGGUAACUUACUUAGGCACAUUGUACUCUGGAUAAAGUUCACCAACUUGGGCUGCAAAAUCACCAAAGUGAGAGAUAGCUUCAGCACACAGAUGCCUACCAACUGCAGAUUUGUUCUCAUACACCAAGAUAUGUGCCAAUGCUACAUCCUUAAAGUGGACCGAUCCCAUAAAAAUGUUCUCAUAUGUUUCAUCAGAACCUGCCACGCCACAUACAAAAGGUCACAAAUUCUCAGUAAUUCCCCUAAAACAUCAUAAAUUGGGUAGUUUCAUGUUAAUAUUCCGGUCAACGAUUAUAGAUUAUAUGGUAAAAAAUUUAAUAAAAAAAAAGUGUAGUGAUUUUCACGAAUUAUAAAUGUCCUACGCAUCUAUACCAUCGACCAAGUUGUAGCAGGUCUUGUGAAAUUAGUCUAAUAGUUAGGUAACAACAACAGUAGCCCUAUUCACAUUAUACCAUUUUAAUCAGUUAAAAAUGUAUGCAUCAUUCAUCACAAGAUCCCUAACAUGGUGUUAAAUAGUGGUAUGCGACUAUGACUUUAGUGGUUCCGUCCACAGAUUUGGACGGAUGAAUACAAACAGAAAGCAUGAAAAUCAAAAGUAAAAAAUUGUUAGAUUCUUUCCUCGCAUAGCUGUGAGGAGUAGCAAAGAAAGUUGAAUAAACAUUAUAAUCAUAUAUUUACAAUAAAAUAUAUAUUCUAUAACGGAUCAUUACAUAGUCUGAUGACAUAUAUUUAUCAAAUAAUCCAUUUUUUUAAUAAUAUAAUUGAUUAUGGAAUAUACAUGUUAUUAUAUUUUUAUAUAAUUAUUAUAUUAUAUAUAUACACUAAAAAAAAUAUAAAUAUAGUAAAAAAAAUAAUUAGUUGUUAUAAUAACUAAAUUAGAAAUUAUUUUAAAAACUAAAAAAAAUAAUUUUUAAAUUAGUUUAUAUUAUUAUUAAAUAGUUUUGUAAUUUGUAUUUAAUUAGCUACCAAGGUUUUAACUCCCAAUUAUUUAAUUUCUAAAUUUGGUCGUAAAAAUUUUGGUUGCUAAUUAAAUACUAAUUUAAAAAUUAUUUAAUGAUAAUACAAACUAAUUUAGAAACUAAAGUUUUUUUUUCUCUAAAAUGAUUUAUAAUUUAGUUACUAUAUCAACUAAAUAUUUUUUAUUCUCUAAACAUAGUUUUCUAUUUGAUGUUUUUUUUUAGUGAUAUUAUUAAUUGAUUAAUAUUUGUAUUUUUAUUCUAAACAUAAUUAAUUAUACAAUAUAAUACAAUGUAAUAAUAAUAAGUAGUCAAACAAUAAAGAAAUAUAAAAUAAUAAUAAUAAAAUAGUCUCUACCUUGAAGAAGGUGCAAAAGCAUGAGCAUGCUUGCAUUAAGCCUCGGUGCAAUAACCGGACCCAACACCAUCCCAGGAUUCACUACAACAACAUCCCACUCACUCUCCUUUGCCAAAUCCCACGCUGCUUUCUCGGCCAAUGUCUUCGACAAUGGAUACCACAACUGUUGCACACACAAACACUUCACACCCCAACACAUAACAAAAACAAACACAAAAUUCAAAAAAUGAAAACCCUUUCUAACCGCUUUUUCCUUGCAAAAUUCAACGUCAGUCCAGCACUCCUCCUUCUUUGGAACAUCACCGGGCCAAUUGGGGCUCGGAACAAUCGCGGUGAUGGAGGACGUCACCACCACGCGACGCACUCCAGCUUCUUUCGCUGCCGUUAGCACGUUCACGGUGCCCUUUACCGCCGGGUCCAGAAGAUCCUUCUGCAUGAAGACCCAAAUGGGAUGAUGCAAAAACCCUAAAGAUUGAAAAUUUGCAAGAAGAUCGAGAGAACAAAACCUGGGGGUCCUGGACUUCAUCAACAAUGCAGGGAGAGGCGAUGUGGAAUACGCCGGCGCAGCCGCGCAUGGCUUCGAGUACGGAGUCGUAGUGGAGGAGCUCCAUCUGGAAGAGGCGGAGGCGCUCCGACGCUCCAUCCAAGGCUUUUAGAUGCUUUGUCUCGGCCUCAUCGUCUGUUAGAAAAGUUGUGUUGUGCUGUGUAAGUAUAUAUUGGGAUGAAACGAAUGAAUAAUGAGAGUGUGGAAUGUACUAACUGAGAUUUCGGACGGUGGCGUGAACGGUGUAGCCGCGGUCCAGAAGGAGGUGGACGAGCCAGGAAGCGAUGGCGCCGCUGCCGCCGGUGACACACACCACCUUCUCCAUUUUGCAACUUAAUUCUAACACGAAAACGAUCACUAGAGACUUGAGAAGUCCACUUUGAAAUCAAGAGAAGAAGAAAGAAACAAGUGUAAUGAUGUGACGAACAUACACAUUUUUAUAGAAUAAUAUCACUUCAAUACUAUUAUUUUAAACAUCUAUACAUCCGUAUUUUAUUAUUUUAUUCAAUUUUUAUGUUAAAUUUCAUAAAAAAUUAACAUUAAAUAUAUAAAAAAUAUUACUUAAAAAAUAUUUAUUUUCUUUUUCAAUUUGAGUUUUUUUUUUUUUGAAGUUUUUACUCUUCUUCCAUUGAUAGUUUUGGAAUGAGAGAGUAUAAUGAUGAUAAUGAUUUUAUAAAAAAAUAUAAUUGUUUCUAAUGAGGAAUUGAAAAUAAAUGUUAUUUUAUUUGUUAAAUUUUAUGUAAAAACUUGAUCGUAUGUUUUAUUUUUUUCUUUUGUCUUAAAAUUAAGAAAAGAGUAGGAGAUGUGCAUAUGCAAUAAUAUUAAAAUAAAAAAUAGUUUUAAUUUUUAAUUAAUUUAUAUAAAAUAAUAAAAUAUUUAAUUAUAUUAAUAAAAUGAGAUAUAUUAAAUAAAGAUAAAAUAAAUUAUACACUAAAAAUCGAUUAUAAUAAAAAAAUUAUAUAUAGAUAUAAAUAUUUUUUUAUAUUAUUUAAUUUCAAAGUUAGUCUUUAUUAUAUAUAUUUAAUUGUCAAACUGUAUUAAAAAAAAAAGACAGGGACAGUAGAAUUAAUUUGACAGAAAACGAAAGACAUGGAAAAUUUGACAACAAAAAUAUCGAAAUCAGCAAUGCAGAAUUAAUUAUAGGAAAGUUGGUGAGUACGAAAACCAAUCCAAUUUUUUAAAGGAUCCGGAUUUUUGACAACGUACGCAUCGUAUAACUCUGAAAAAAUCUUAAUAUUUUAAUAGUGUGUGAUCUUCUGUCAUAUUGGAAUCUUUUUCUUAUCUUUUUUGUAGUUUUCAUAUUUUGAGGUUUCUUUCUUUUUUUUAAGCUUCACUAUGUAUUUGCAAAUUUUUCUUUGUGCACUGAAACAUUUAUUUUUUCUUCUGUAUUGUUUUUAUUUGAUCUCGGUUUUAUUUAUUGUUAUCGUUAUUCAUAAUAAUAUUAUUUUUAUUAAUACUAUUAUUAAAAUUAAUAAUAAUACUAAUACUAAUAUUAAUAAUAAUUUAAAUAAUAAAAAUAAUUUUAAUAUUACUACUAAUUAUAAUAAUAUUAUUAUUAUUAGUAAUAAUAUUAGUAUUAGUAGUAAUUAUAAUAAUAAUAAUUAUUAUUAUUAUAAUAAUAUUUUUUAACUAGUGUUAUUUAUUUAUCUUUAUAUUCUUACAAUUCCGAUUUAAUUUAGUCAAAUAUAUUCUUAAAGAAAAAAAAUAUUUAUUGUCAAACAUAAUUUUGAAUUGGAUUUUUUGACAUCAUUGUUAUAAUUUUAUUCAAAAUGAUUUUUUUUAUGUUUAAAUUUCAUAUUGUGAUUAAAUUUAGUAUGAAAGAUUUUAUUUAUUGAAGUACUGAGCAAUUGGACUCGAGUAUGAUUGAGGUUAAUCCGUUGGUCAUUUAAAAAAAUGGUUUAGGAAGUGGUGACCUAGUCUAACGGUUAGAGAGGAUGAUGAAUAAGGUGAAUUGAGUUUGUUUAUAACACAUUAAAUUUAUUAUUCACAUGAAAUUUAUUUUUCACAUGAAAAAUGAAAUCUAUUACUUUAAACAUGAUUGUUAAUAUGGAUAACAAAGACCUACUAACUAAUAAAAUUGUCUUAAAUCAUAAAUUAAAAUUAUUCUACACAACUACAAGUUGGAUUGAUUCGUUAUAAUAAUUGUACACGGAUAACAGUAACAUUAGAGAAAUUCAGCUUGUACGAGACUGUUUUCUCAAUGCCUUGUUUGAGAUUUUAUAUUUUGUUUGACUGUGUGGCUUUGUCGGUAUGGUAGACGUUCCUUGGUAGAAAGAGGAUAAAGUACAAAUUUGUAUAAGGGUUAGACCACUAUGUAGUGGUUCAUAUUUAUUAUUUUUUAUUGAUAAUAAAAAAACAAUUUUAUUAUCAUUUUAUUUUAUUUAUUUUGAUGGAUGUAUUACAAUAGUAUAAUAAAUUAUUAUAGAAUCAUAAUUUUGUAUUAGUUUUUUUUUACGUUCAAGUUAUAUUUAGUAUGUAUUUUUUUAAAAUAAAAUCAUAUUUAUAGAUUUUUGAACUUAUUGAAAUAUCGAAUAAAAUUAUUUGAAAAAUCUAUUAUUGAAUAUUAUAGAUCAUUCCAAGACUCAAUCAUAGAGGAACACAAACUCAUAGUACCAAAGGAUAACUUUUUUUUCAUUAAUUUAAUUUCCAACUCAUUGAGAUAAUUAUAAAAGCAUUUCUAUCCAUAACAUUAUGACAAAAUGUAAAGUACACUUUAUUUUCUUAAUAUAUAUAAUUUGACUUUGAUUAACCAAGUGGGCUUGCUGAUAAAAAAAAAACCAAGUGGGCUUCUUCAAUACCUGCAUCAUUUUAAUAUUUGGUAACAUUGUUUAUGGUUUCCCAAUUUUUACUUUAUGCAUAUGGACCCACUUUUUGUUUGUUGCUAUUUUACUUUAUUCAUUUUCAUUUUAUUUUUAAUUCAAAAUAUUAUUAUAUUAUUAUAAGUGUAUCUUAUUUACUGUUGUUUAUUGUUUAUGGUUUUAAAGUAACUUUUCUCUUUUGUCAUACAUUCACAUGGGGAGCGCUUAUUUGUUUGCAUGAAAAUUGGAAAUAAGGAGUUGAAGACGUACAAGAAAGAAAGAGUAACUCUAAAUAAAAGAAUAACUUCACUUUUUAAAAUAAUUAGUACGUUGAACCGUGGAACGCACGGGAAUUUUUUCAAUAUUUUAUAUGUAAAUAUUAAUAUUAAAAUUAAUAAUUUAAUUUAUUUAUAUAUAAUUUCAGUUAUACUUCCGUAUUUUUAUAUCUUUCUUAUAUAUUUUUAGUUGUAAUAUUUGAAAAAGUAGUUUUUGGAUCGAUCAAUACCAAAUGAGUGAGUUAUUUCACUUUGAAAAUUUAUCAACCACAUUAAAAUACAUUUAAGACACUCAAUAAAUGAGUUGCAACAAUUAUGAAAACUACCUACAAAUCAAAGUCAUAUCCCAUCUCGGUGAUACUCCGGGAAAAUAAUUAAUAUUAAUUUAUUGAAUAUAUUAUCUAAAUAUACAUAUCUAUAAAUCAGGGAAUCUCCUUAAAAAAUCACUUAACACUGAUAUUUGAUAAAUUCGACCCAUAACAAGAAAUGACUCAUGAGUAAACCCUUUACAAAGAAGGAAGAUACGCUUUUGAUCAAUUUCACUAUACACUCUUAACACAAGGUACUUACUUGAUCGUUGAAAAACCUUUUGCAAGUUAACUCCUAAUCGACUAUUGAGAAAUUGAGGAGAAGGAGUCUUGAAGUUUAAAUGAGUGAAGUACUGAGGAGCAAGGGAGGGACCGACAACCAAAACAAUUGUUACAGUCAAUCUCAUGUUAUAUCUAGUCUCACUUUGUCUAUACAAGUACAAGUACCAUAAUUUCAUCGUGUGUAAGAGGCUUGACGAGAAGAUUUGUUGUAUUUGACAUUCUCUAGUGGAAAGACAAUUUUUUUAGUUUUGUACUUCAUUUUUACACAUUGUUUUUUUGUGGUUUCCAAAAAAAAAAAAAACAAAACAAAAACAGAGUCACCACCGAACAAUCAUCAUCACUUGAAAAUGAAGAAGAUACAACACUCUCCAUCAAGUAUUGUUGGAAUUAAAAAAGAGUAUGUAAGUGGAGGAUGAAGAUAUGGAGGUGCAAAGAGAAUUCGCCAUCAAUUUUGUGCAUAUGGGACUACUUUUUUCAUCACAUUUUGGUAUCACCCUUCCUUCAUGGGUGUUUCUUUCUGCACCUUUAUAUUUUUCUUCCUGCACCCCAACAUUCAUGUGCAAUUACAAAAGUAUCUCUAAGACAUCUAAAAAACCCAAAAGGAGCAUAUCUCACUCUUUCUUUCUUCCUUUUCUACAAUUGUUGUAAAAAACGUGGUGGCCCACUUGCAGCAAACAGCAAAUAAUGGGCAAAGAAAACACGAUGACCCCACUUGCAGCAAACAGAAAAUAAUGAGUAAAUAAAAAAAUAGGGUUUGCAGGAAAUAUAGAAAAGAAUGAGGAAAGAAAAGAAUGGCAUGUGAAGGCAUUGUAAGGAAGGGUGAUGCCACAACGUUAUGAGAAUGAGUGGUUGUGAUGGAUGAAUGAAUAAUUAAGAUUCUUUCACAUUCUAAACAGUAUCUCACUUUCAUUCUCUAACCAUUUAUAGUAACAUCCCCACUUAUUCUUUCUUCUUUUAUAACAAAAAACAUAAACAACCACCCCUUUUUUCUUUCCUUUCUUUUAUUUACUACUUUUUUUAUAUCAUUUAAUUAUAAAUCUUUCUUUUGUUCUGAUCCCCAUGUGAAUGUCUGAAGAGGAAAUCAUUUAGGUGUCAAUAAGAACAUUGACAUAUUGGUUUAUAAUUAAAAAUUCUUGAUUUUGCAGACUUUAACUUUGAGUAGAAAGUUGAUAUUAUAUUAUUAUGUUUAUCUAUUUAUUAACUCAAAUUUAUUGAAUUGAAGAACUGAUUUUCUGCUUUGAUUUGUAAUAGAAUUAAACAAUUUUUAAAAUAAUUCAUAUUUAUUUAUUCCUUCAUACUAAUAAUAAAACUAACCACACCAACAAAAGUUUAACAACACAUAUGAUCGUGCCUUAUUUUACAACAACAGGAAUUUGCACCAAACAUAUGUGCCAUAAGGACUCAUAUUGCAGCAGCAAUUAUGGAAGGAAUCCUUUUUUCUUCAAAUCCUCUACAGAAUCCUUAAUAAUCUCCUCAAUUGGAGUGAUUUGCAAACCCAAAUCCAUAAGUUUCUUUGAUCCAUCCUUCACUCUCAAUAAUCCUGGUUGGGUAUCUCGUUGCAUCCUUUCAAGCAAAAUCACAAAGCACAUCAUUUACAAGUAAGUUAUGCAUUAACAAUACAUGUAUCAAGUGUGUGGCUAACUUACUUAGGCACUUUGUACUCUGGAUAAAGUUCACCAACUUUGGCUGCAAAAUCACCAUAGUGAGAGAUAGCUUCAACACACACAUGCCUACCAGCUGCAGAUUUGUUCUCAUACACCAAAAUAUGUGCCAAUGCUACAUCCUUAAAGUGAACCGAUCCCAUAAAAAUGUCCUCAUAUGUAUCAUCACAACCUGAGACGCAACAUACAAAAUGUCACAAAUUCUCAGUAAUUCCCCUGAAAAAUCAUAAAUUGGGUAGAGUUUGAUAUUUGUAUUCGGGUCAACGACUAUAGUGUGCAAAAAUAUAAUGAGAAGAGCAUAGCAUAAUCAAAUAAGUCUAAUACUUUUCACGAAGGCAUCAAGUUCUAAAUGCCCUACGCAACUAUAUACCAUGAACUAAGUUGUAGCAGGUCUUGUGAAAUUAGUCUAAUAACUAGGUAACAGAAACAGUAGCCCUAUUCACAUGAUACCAUUUUAUUCAGUUAAAAUAUUAUACAUUAUUCAUAAUAACAAGGUCCCUAACAUGGUGUUAAAUAGUUUUUUUAUGAGAAAAAAAAAUAAUCAAAAUAUUUCAAUUCAACCGUUAUAAGUCAUAACUAACUAGAUCUCUUAUAUUCAAUAAACAAGUUUCUAAAACAAACCCAAAACAUGACAAUCUACCAACAUGGUUUUCAAUAAUGGUAUGCAACUAUGACUUUAGUAUACAAUUCUUCUCAAAGGAUAUUUUCCUUUAAAAGAAAAAUUCCUUUGUCUUUCUGAGUGUCUCUCAGACACACCUUUCCAUGCAAUCAACGUUUCUCUAGUGGCUCAGUAAUACUUCUGUAAUAAUGCAGAAUAUUUCAGCACUUCUCAAUAUUCAAGAGACUCCUACUGCAAGAUUAGAAAGCAAUAUUUGGAAAAGGCAAUUGAUUAAGCAUAAGUCUCUCUCUACCUUGAAGAAGGCGCAAGAGCAUGAGCAUGCUUGCAUUAAGCCUGGGUGCAAUAACCUCACCCAAAACAAUGCCAGGAUUCACUGUAACAACAUCCAACCCACUCUCCUUUGCAAAAUCCCAAACUGCUUUCUCCGCCAAUGUCUUCGACAAUGAAUACCACAACUGUUCCACACACAAACACUUCACACACCAACACAUAACAAAAACAAACACAAAAUUCAAAAAAUUAAAACCCUUUCUAACCGCUUUUUGCUUGCAAAGUUCAACGUCAGCCCAACACUCCUCCCUCUUUGGAACAUCACCGGGCCAAGUGGGGCUCGGAAUAAUCGCCGCCACGGAGGACGUCACCACCACGCGACGCACUCCUGCUUCUUUCGCUGCCGUUAGCACGUUCGCGGUGCCCUUUAUCGCCGGGUCCAGAAGAUCCUUCUGCAUGAACACCCAAAUGGGAUUAUGCAAAAACCCAAAAGAUUGAAAAUUUGCGAGAAGAUCGAGAGAGCAAGACCUGGGGGUCCUGGACUUGACCAACAAUGCAGGGAGAGGCAAUGUGGAAUACGCCGGCGCAGCCGCGGAUGGCUUCGAGUACGGAGUCGUAGUGGAGGAGCUCCAUCUGGAAGAGGCGGAGGCGCUCCGACGCUCCAUCCAAGGCUUGUAGAUGCUUUGUCUCGGCCUCGUCGUCUGUUAGAAAAGUUGUGUUGUGAUGUGUUAGUAUUGGGGUGAAACGAAUGAAUAAUAUUGAGAGUGUGGAAUGUACUAACUGAGAUUUUGGACGGUGGCGUGAACGGUGUAGCCGCGGUCCAGAAGGAGGUGGACGAGCCAGGAACCGAUUGCGCCGCUGCCGCCGGUGACACACACCACCUUCUCCAUUUUGCAACUUAAUUCUAACACGAAAACGAUCACGAGAGACUGGAGAAGUCCACUAUGAAUUCAAGAGAAGAAGAAAGAAAGAAAGAAGU
rnacentral:lncRNA from 1 species